CUUAUGAACCUUACAUAAUUUGUAAUCAAAAUCUUCAGUUUUUUUAAUGAAUUUUGAGAGAAAGUGUAAGAUAUGUGGUUUGUGUGGAUAGGAAAUGAGAAAGGAUGAGAAAAAAUCGAAAAUUUAGGGCAUUAACACUCUCAAUUUGGUAUUUCAUGGUGGUUGAGGUAUUGAUGUCAAUGACAAAGUUGUAAAUAUUUGGUGAAGAUGAGGAUGAUAAGGUUAAAGCAUUAUUUUCAAAAAAAAAAAUAAUAAUGACAUUUUCGUAAAUAAUUAGAACUUCUAGGGUGAAUGGGACAAAACAAAGUUUCAGAAAAAAAAAACAUAGAUUAUUUUUGGAGUUGACUUGAAAUUUUGAGUCAUUUUCGAAAGAACCCCUUUAUUUUAUCAAACUAAAUUUCUAAUGGAGCCCAAACCAAGCAAAUAUUAUUACGAUAUUAUAGUCACGUACUUAAGUGAACUAUUAUCAUUCAAACUAAAUUUUUAGACGCAGAGCUAUAUGUUUUGAUACAUUUUUACUUUUUUUUUGUCAGAUAGAUUUUAAUUUAGUUUUUAUAUUUUUAUAUUGAAUAUUUACUUAUUAUUUAUUGUUUUCUUAUUUUGUAUAUUUACGUAUUUCAAUUUUUUUUUCUUUCAUAGCAAAUAAUAAUAUUACGUUAUACGUUUAAUGUAAUACUUUUAUUUCUUAUAUAGUUUGUUUACUUAUUAUUAUUUUUUCAUAUUUUAUAUUUACUUAUUCUAAAUAUUACGAUAGAUGUUUAAUGUAAUAUUUAUAACGGUUUGGUAUGUACUUCGUGCAGAUAAUUUGUAUAUCUUAAAUUUUUUAAAUAUUUGGUUACAUAUUAUCUAUAAAUUAUUAUUAUUUUGAUUGGCUGUUUUUACUUUAUCAUUCUUUUUUAUUUUAAAUGUUUGGUGUUAAGAUAUUCUAACAUUCGUCUUGUUGCCAAUAAGAAAAUCUCUUAGGUCAAGUGUUGAGUGAUUUAAUGAUGAUAUGUUUUAUUUUAUAUGUGUAGGAUAAAUCUUUAUACAUAUUUGUUUGAUUUUAAGUCAUUUACUUUUAUUUCCUUAUAUUUCCAUUGUCAUAUUAUUUUUAAAUUACAUCUAUUUUUUAAAAAAUACUUUUAGUCUCAUGUUUAAAUCGUGAAAAUGAUUUUUUCAUCUUUUCCGUUUUGUAAUGUUUAUUUUUAUUUAUUUAUUUUAUUUAGUUAUAUUUUUCACCAUUUAUCUUUAUUAUAUGUAAAUUUGAUGUUGUGUUUUCUCAGUAUGAAUUAUAUUAUGAUUAAAAGAGAGAAAAAACUCUUAGAUUCACUUGUUGUUUUUCUUUUUGGCUGAUCUUACUUCUUUUUUCCUGGAUAUAUUUAAAUUACAAACCUUUUU
rnacentral:lncRNA from 1 species